GGGGAUGUAUUUGGUUUCGACAGUAUCCUAGAAGUAUUGAUAGCGAGUAGUGGAUUCUCACUUGGCCACUUUAAUAAUGUGAGAAAUUAAAAAUAAACGCUGAUAAUAGAGAAUUAGCAUACGCUGCCUAAUUAAAGGCGCGUCAUCUUACUUUAUGUGCCCACGCUUAAAGAUUAAGGUGUCAAAUUAGUGGGAAACAAAAUUAUUUUUAGUUAUGGAAAUAAUGGGUAUUUUUAAAUAACUACCUUUUUAGUAAAUUUGUUUGUUGUGUUAUUAUUUAGGGAAUCUUUACAAUAAACUGCACUCGGAGAAGUUGGUAUGGAAAGAAUAUUGGACAGGAGUUCGACUCUCCUCAUCUCCACCA
rnacentral:tmRNA from 2 species